AGAUAAGAAAAGCGAAUGGGAUAGCUUUCCUCAGCCCAAUGCCAUAAUCCCCAUUAUGCCACCCGAUCUGGAAAGUGCCAAGGAUUUAGUCGGUGCUUCUUUUAAGUUAAGCAUUUCAAAAGUGUCAUCAUUGUGGUUACAGAGAGUAAGGAGCAAUUUAUGUUGGUGGCACCACCUCAUAUGGCAUUUGUCCUGUGGAGAAGUCAAACAUGUCAGAGGCUGACAUUCUCAUAUGGAGGUGACAUUAAACAAACAAGGUGGCGGGGAACUCUUUAAGUCACCUGAAAUUUUGUGAGCAGUCAAUCAAUAGUUCUGACAAGCUGGGGCCACACUUGCCCGUGACCACUGGGUUUUGCUUCUCACACCGCACACUUGACAGGAACUGUGCCGCUAAUUUGGGACACUAAGCCUGUCUCUCUACCCUGACUUUUCCCCACUGAUAGUGCAUUUUGAAAAAAAAUGACCUUUGAAAAGACCCAGGCUGAUGACGAUUUCUACCGACCACUAAGUAGGUGGGAUUACUUGGAAAUAUCAGAUUGUUGACUAAUCCUUUCUGUUUUCAGCAGCCUGUUUGAGCUGGUGGCAGAGGCAGUAUCUUACCCAAGCUGAGUCUCACUCUAUUUAAAUCCUUAUUUAUGAACGUAAAGACAGGGGCUGGAGGGGCCCAGGUGAGGCUGGUUCCCAAAGGAAAACCACAAGGCUAUUGUAAAUUCCUUGAACAAGAUGCAAGGUCGACUGCGCUUCAUUCCACAGCAAGAGAUAACACUUCAAAUCCAAGUGCUCCCGGAAGGGAGGGAAGACCUGGGCUUCAGUUCAUGCUAAGUUGUAAAUCACUAAUAUUGGAAAGUUUUUCUCAACCAGGUUUUGAUUGAGGAAGGAAGGCCAGCGUGAUGGUUCUGGCUGACCAAGGGUGGGGAGUCAUGUUGGGAGAGAGAGCCUCACUUCUUCGGCCAUGGGAGAGAGGCUGGCACAAAGCUGGGGUCCUCUCUGGGGUGAAUACCGGCUCAGGAAAACCACAGGAGCCAUUCCUUCACGUGGACCCAACUAUGGACCAGAACAUUCUUCUCAUGGAGAUGGCAGAUACAUAAGAACAAGCCCGGUUGUACAAGUGUGCCCCACUCCUGAGUUACUGCUUUGCUGUGGCCAUCUGGUUUCCAAGGUCCUGCUGGAUGGGUCAGCACACCAAAUUACAAGAUGCUAGAUUUUGCCUGGAGUAUAAGGAUACUGUUUGCAUGAGUCUUCUUCUGGAAUCAACAGUCAAACAUGCCCAACAUGCUAGUAAUCAGAAUGAGUUUUAUUUCAAUUGUUUAUAACUGUAAUUAUACUUAACAAAUACCUGUUUAUCCCCCAGGAGUUAGCAAAUGGGCCCUCACCCAAGUCUAAUAGCGGAUGGGGGAUUAGGGAAUGAAGGAAUGUUAGUACAAAUUUCACAAUCACUGAGUUAGGUGUAUAACAUCUUUUAUUUCUAUGAGAUUCAACUGAAAUUGGCCUGGCACUCCAUUCUACCAAAUUGCAGAAAACUUGACCUAUACCUCCACAUAAAUAGAGUCAGAGAUUGUAAAAAUCUCACCCAGUUCAGGGUCUUGCCCCCAAUUUCCAGUGCUUCUAAGCUCUGGUGGGCUGGUGGUGGUCCAGGCCUGGGAGUGCGGUCUCUUGUAGGAGAUUGAUUUCUGUCCUGCCCUGCUUUUUGGCCCAGAUGUGGGCUUGAUGCUUAUUUGGUCUUUAGCACCCACCAUACUGCCUGUGCCUGGAAAACACCUGUAUCCAGCUCACAAGGUAUAUGCUAUUACCUGGCUGCUGCCUAGUCUGGCUGUGGAACCACUCCACACCUUUGUCGUCUCCUCUCAGCCACUCUGGACCAAGCUAAGCUGUGAUCACCUCUCUGAGAUCCUUCUCAUUUCAAGCCCCAAGACAAGCUACCAAUGCCCCUUGGGCAUUGUCUUGGCUUGACCAAGAGCUCCUUUGAAAGGUGCUUCUGCUUAGGGAUUCACCCAAACUCAUCUGCCCUUUCCUCUGGAAUUCUUCUUGUCCUGGCCCAGGGACCAGCCAGGCUUAGUUGGGGAUGGGCUAGGGGGUUCCUUUGUGUG
ensembl:lncRNA